GGAAUCUUCCACAAUGGACGAAAGUCUGAUGGAGCAACGCCGCGUGAGUGAAGAAGGUUUUCGGAUCGUAAAACUCUGUUGUUGGAGAAGAACACGUUUGAGAGUAACUGUUCAGACGUUGACGGUAUCCAACCAGAAAGCCACGGCUAACUACGUGCCAGCAGCCGCGGUAAUACGUAGGUGGCAAGCGUUGUCCGGAUUUAUUGGGCGUAAAGCGAGCGCAGGCGGUUUCUUAAGUCUGAUGUGAAAGCCCCCGGCUCAACCGGGGAGGGUCAUUGGAAACUGGGAGACUUGAGUGCAGAAGAGGAGAGUGGAAUUCCAUGUGUAGCGGUGAAAUGCGUAGAGAUUAGGAAGAACACCAGUGGCGAAGGCGGCUGUCUGGUCUGUAACUGACGCUGAGGCUCGAAAGCAUGGGUAGCGAACA
rnacentral:rRNA from 1 species